rnacentral:rRNA from 1 species
GCCAGACUCCUACGGGAGGCAGCAGUGGGGGAUAUUGCACAAUGGGGGGAACCCUGAUGCAGCGACGCCGCGUGGGUGAAGGAGUGCUUCGGCAUGUAAAGCCCUAUCGGCAGGGAAGAAGCAAGACGGUACCUGACUAAGAAGCCCCGGCUAACUACGUGCCAGCAGCCGCGGUAAUACGUAGGGGGCGAGCGUUAUCCGGAUUCACUGGGUGUAAAGGGAGCGUAGACGGCAAUGCAAGCCAGAUGUGAAAGCCCGGGGCUCAACCCCGGGACUGCAUUUGGAACUGUGUAGCUGGAGUGUCGGAGAGGCAGGCGGAAUUCCUAGUGUAGCGGUGAAAUGCGUAGAUAUUAGGAGGAACACCAGUGGCGAAGGCGGCCUGCUGGACGAUGACUGACGUUGAGGCUCGAAAGCGUGGGGAGCAAACAGGAUUAGAUACCCGUGUA